rnacentral:rRNA from 1 species
UAAACUAGGAUUAGAUACCCUAUUAUUCUAACUGUAAAAUUUUAACCAAAUUAUUAUUAGAGGAUCUUUAAAUUUAAAGGAUUUGGCGGUAAUUAAUCCAUUCAGAGGGACCUGUCCUGUAAUUGAUAAUCCACAAUAGAUUAUACUAAUCUUUAGCUUAUAUACCUCUGUCAUUGAAUACUUUUUUAGAAUAUUUUCUUAAGGUUUAUUUUUAAUCAAAAUGUUAGGUCAAGGUUUAGUAAUAUAUUAGUAGAGAUGGGUCACAUUUUUUUUAUAAUAGGAAAAAUUGAUGUUAAUUAUUUUUAAUAUGGAUUUGUUAGUAAAUUUCAUUAUUUUAUGGAAUUGACUUUGGCCCUAGAUUAUGCACACAUCGCCCGUCGCUCUUAU